rnacentral:rRNA from 1 species
UACGGAGGGUGCGAGCGUUGUCCGGAAUCAUUGGGCGUAAAGGGCGCGUAGGUGGCGGGACAAGCGUGCGGUGAAAGCCUGGGGCUCAACCCCGGGUCGGCCGUGCGAACUGUUUUGCUUGAGCACUGUAGAGGCAGGCGGAAUUCCGGGUGUAGCGGUGGAAUGCGUAGAGAUCCGGAAGAACACCGGUGGCGAAGGCGGCCUGCUGGGCAGUAGCUGACACUGAGGGACGAAAGCUAGGGGAGCGAAUGGG